UACGGAGGGGGCUAGCGUUGUUCGGAAUUACUGGCGUAAAGCGCGCGUAGGCGGACCUGCAAGUCGGGGGUGAAAGCCCGAGGCUCAACCUCGGAACUGCCUUCGAUACUGCGGGUCUCGAGUCCGGGAGAGGUGAGUGGAAUUCCUAGUGUAGAGGUGAAAUUCGUAGAUAUUAGGAAGAACACCAGUGGCGAAGGGCGGC
rnacentral:rRNA from 1 species